rnacentral:rRNA from 1 species
GAUGAACGCUGACAGAAUGCUUAACACAUGCAAGUCGAUGGGGAAGUGGUGCUUGCACCAUGGUAACCAUGGCGGACGGGUGAGUAACGCGUAAGGAACUUACCUGUGGGACCGGGAUAACAGCAGGAAACUGCUGACAAGACCGGAUAAGGUCAUUAAGCUGCAUAGCUUAGUGAUGAAAGGAGACGCCUGCGGAGAGCCUUGCGUCCUAUUAGCUAGUUGGAGGGGUAACGGCCCACCAAGGCGAAGAUAGGUAGCCGGCCUGAGAGGGUGGACGGCCACAAGGGGACUGAGAUACGGCCCUUACUCCUACGGGAGGCAGCAGUGGGGAAUAUUGGACAAUGGGGGCAACCCUGAUCCAGCAAUUCUGUGUGCACGAAGACGGUUUUCGGAUUGUAAAGUGCUUUCAGCAGGGAAGAAGGAAGUGACGGUACCUGCAGAAGAAGCGACGGCUAAAUACGUG